GCCGGAGUGGCCGAGCGGUUCUAGGCGCUUCAGUCUGGAGCACUGCGGUCGCAGGUUCGAAUCCUGCCUCCGGCA